UCUCCUGUAGCUCAGUGGUAGAGCGUCCAACCAGUGUGCAGAAGAUCAUAGGUUUGACUCCUGUUGGGAGAA
rnacentral:tRNA from 1 species